UUGUUUAAAUUUACUUAAACUCCGACGCAAAGAUGCAGGGUUUCGGCACUUGCGGGAGCCCCCGCCGACGAGAAUCGGCAGGGUCGCCCCCGAAGCAACAAGUUGUGUUCACAGAGGGUGGGAGGUCGAGCCCGAGGGCCCUCACUCAGUAAUGAUCCCUCCGCAGGUUCACCUACGGAGA
rnacentral:misc_RNA from 1 species